ACCACCCCGCCUCCUCCCCUGUCUCCUGGUUCAAAAGCAGCCAGGCCAAAAGAGGACCACACAGCCCCGGCUCAUCGCUCUUUGCCACAGGCUGCUAUCAAGAGAGAGCCAAGAUCCUCCCAAGAUGAAGGGCUUUCUCUUCCUCACCAUCAGCCUCCUGGUUAUGAUUCAGAUACAAACUGGAGUCUUGGGAAACCAGACGGACAGCGCCAGCGGUGCUGCUGCCGAUAUCUGGGCAUUCCACAACGUGGGUGGAGGCAGCUUCCUCUUCUUUUUGACCAACACCCUAAUACACCUCUUCCACCUCAGCUGAGGUGCCUCAGCCCCGGCCCUGGGCCCCCUGAAACAGCUACCACAGUCACUUGCAAGAGAAUUCUCCCUCACUCUUGGGAGGGGUUGAUGUCAGAGAUCACCAGGUUGUAGAAACCAACAGGCAGAGCUGUGGGGGCAAUGGCCAAACUGGGGCAGUACUAAUAUAGUGGAGCAGGCAGCCUCCAGCCAGGGGUCAAUAAAUUUGUCCUCGUACUUGGA